rnacentral:misc_RNA from 1 species
GUCGAAGGUGGGGCUGAUGACUGGGGUGAAGUCGUAACAAGGUAGCCGUACCGGAAGGUGCGGCUGGAUCACCUCCUAACAGGGAGACAAACAACGAUUUUGAUGUCUGAGUUUUUUUAUUCUUAGGCCAAAAUCCUGUCACCUUAGGUCGAUCGGUACCUCAACUUUGAAGCUAAGAGUAUUCAGCAAUGGAUAUCUGCUUAGUGGAGAUUUUUAGUUCCUAAACUUUGUCUAGUUCACAACCCAUUAGGGAUGAGACUCCUGGGCCAUUAGCUCAGGUGGUUAGAGCGCACCCCUGAUAAGGGUGAGGUCCCUGGUUCAAGUCCAGGAUGGCCCAUUCGGUGUAGGGGGUUUAGCUCAGUUGGUAGAGCGCCUGCUUUGCAAGCAGGAUGUCAGGAGUUCGAGUCUCCUAACCUCCACUGACUACCAAAAUCCCCAUCUCCAAAACCUGGAGUAUGAACUCGUAUGGAUUGUGAUUUAGAUGUGUCCGCUAGAUGACCCUAGCUUCUUGUCAUUUUAAGGCAUGGAAAUAGUUCCAUGAUAUUUAAUUGAUAGGAUGCUGGGCUCGACUCAAUGUAUUGAGAGAUCAAUGCAUUGUUUUGAUGUCUGGUCGAACCUUGACAACUGCAUAGUAAGUCUGGAAAGAAUAAAGCAUCUUUAUGGAUGCAUCAUUCUUGAGUGUUAAUUCACGAUGGGAUGGUGUUAAUUCUAAAGCAAGAGCCGAGACUCCAGCAUGUUCUUUCAAAUGUGUCGAGCAUUUGAGAGUUUGAUUUUAAUUUCUAUUUUUAGAAGUUAGAAGAAUCUGUUUCAACGACAGCAAGCGUGUUGGAGAUACAUUGGUCAAGCUACAAAGGGCUCA